UUGUAAAAGUACAAGGUCCCAAUGAUGAAUGUAACAGUAUUGUAUACCUAAAAUGUACCAAUAAAAUUAAUGAAUAAAAAAAGAAAUACCUAGGCAUUAAUUUAAUCAAGGAAGUGAAAGACCUGUAUAAAGAAAAUUGUAGUGCUCUGGAAAAAGGACAUUGAAGAGGACAUCAGGUAAUGGAAAGAUGUUCCCUGCUCCUGGGUAGGCAGAACAGAUUUUGUCAAAAUGGCCAUACUCCCAAAACUGUUCUGCAGAUUCAAUGCAGUCCCAAUUAAAACGCCAGCAGCAUACUUUACAGAUCCAAAGAAAACAAUCCUAAAAUUCAUAUGAAAGCAGAAGAGACCCAGAAGUGCAAAAGCAAUCUUAGGCAACAAGAGCAAAGCAGGAGGCAUCACCAUUCCUGUCCUCCACUUUACUACAAAGCAACGGUAAUAACAACAGCGUCAAACUGGAGCCAUUACCAACACGCGGCUCAAUGGAACAAAGUAGAGGAUUCCGAAACAUCCCCAGACAAAUUCAGCCAUUCAUUCGAUCUUGGACAAAGGGACCAAAAGCAUACUUUGGAGGAAAGAGAGCUUAUUCAGCAAAUGGUUCUGGGAAAACUGGAUAACUGCAGAAGAUUGAAACUGUACUCAAAUCCCUCCCCUACUGGGGGUGACGUUAUUUUUUAUGAAAGUGUUGGAGCAAGAGUAGCAGAGGCAUCCACUUCCUGCCUCGUCUUAAUGGGACAUCUUGGUGAAUUGAGACUUAACCUAAACCAUGUUGAUUCAAGCAGAAAACAGACACAUUAUCUUAUUAUGUCUUUUAUAUGUGCGUGUGCAAAUGUUCACCCUCACGUCCACAAACGUUUCUCAUUUAGAGAAAAUCACACUCGCCUGGCUUUGUUACUUAGCCAAGCACAGAAAGGCCAUCACCUGAUUCAAUGAGUUCCAGACUCUGUACAAGUCUGACAAGGCUCACAGGGACAGGCUCCAGUUUGGAUAUCUCCCUAAUGGGGAAGUCGUAACUGUUGCUUCCUUGGGCACUACUAUGGAGGUAUGGCUAUAAAAACUACAUAACUCUUCACCCACAGAAUAUCAAAUAAAUAAUAGAGGAAAAGAACCCUUGCAUAUAUGAAUAUUGGAUUUGCUGUACAUAUGCUGUUUUUCACUCAGAUUUUCUCCACCAUGCACUUUGAUGUCAAUGUCAAUUAGAUAAUCUUUUUCCUCCAAGUAUCACCAGGGUAAAAAAUAAAAAAGUAAACAAAAUGUCCUUGUAGUAAAUCAACUGUCAGAAUACCCUUGGCCUGAAAGAUAUUGCUUGGGGUCUUUUUCAGAAGCUUGGAAAAUGGCUAUAUAUGGAAGUCCCUGAUUCGCUCUGUUGAUAGAAAAUGUAGCAGGGAAUGAGUAAUGGCCUGUGACACAAACUGUGGAGGGACUCACAGGACAAGGUCUACAGAGCUGGAGGUCUACAUCUGGAGACAACCGCACAGACACAUUUCCCAGACAAGGUGAUCGAUCCAUCAACUUUGCCAGCAAGAACACACAACUGUACGAACCUCUGAUUUGAUUCUUCAGCGCUUCUCUCCGACCUGUGAAAACAUGACACAUGUAGUCCGAUGUCAACACCUUUGGGGAGAAUUACAUAGAGUAACCGGGGAAAGCUUUUAAUCUGUAAGACGUAAGUCAAAUAUUACCCUCUGAGUUCAAUUAUUAAUCUUCUUUCUUGUUCACUAUCCUGAAAAGCUUCCCAAAGCGUAAUGACAUAAAACUUGAGAUUAUGGCCCCUCCAAAUGUUUUUUGUAACUUUUUAGGCCCGCAGGUUUUGAAAACUAGAACUGAACCACACGUGAAUGUGAGUAUUUAUCUCACCUGAGCUCGGGUCUGUUAAGCACUAGCCAUCAGUAACAUGUAGUUUUCCUAUCUGUUUCUGUCUUCUUUCAUUAUGAUCAAGUCAGUGGUCCUGUUUCCCUCUCUGUGAUCUGAUUGUUGGGGUUUCACACAAUCUUUUGUCUGAUGUUACUCAUGUGAUCAGAUUAUAAUUUGAGAGAUUCUUCCUCCUUUGUAAGUACAAAACCAAGCCUCACAAUUCCAUCACCAACACUAAGGGCAGUGAGAAAGUCAUUGCAUUCCACAGCUGGGCCCUGUUACAGAUUUAUAUGGCUGAUCCUUCCUCCAGGCAGAAGUUACCUCCACUUUGCUAUGGGGGGCUUUAAAUGACUUGUCCAAAUCUUGUCCACAUAGAUUACUUUCCACGGCAUCUCUGGGUGGUUUCUGUGUUCUCAUGAUGACUUAUUAACCACAAUUGCUGUAUCUCUUUUUGAAAGUUACUGAGUGAACUGGGUAACAGCUAGAAGCCAGGUCGGUGGGAAUGGAAAGAUACAUCACUGUGUAUUAUGCACCAGCAUCCACAGCGUAUUCAGAACAAAUCCAUGUCCAGGCUGACCACCCAAGUGAAUGCUGGAAAGACAAACAUGGUUUAAUAACGUUUAUUUUUAAAAGAAAUGAAUUUAAUUUUAUUAUGUUAUAAAAUUAAGACAUGCUACUUAUAGCAAUUUUGAUAAUGAAAAUAUGUAGUCUGCUAGCUCUUGACAGCAAUUAUCUGGUAUGUGGCCUCUCCUUAUACCCUUUAUGAUUGCAUAUUUAUCAACUGUAUUACUUUGUAUUUCUUCCAUAUUUAUUAAAAUCUAUUA